rnacentral:rRNA from 1 species
UACAGAGGGUGCAAGCGUUGUUCGGAAUUAUUGGGCGUAAAGCGCGUGUAGGCGGCUUUGCAAGUCGGGUGUGAAAUCCCUCAGCUUAACUGAGGAACUGCCGUCCAAACUGCUUCGCUUGAGACCGGGAGAGGUGAGUGGAAUUCCCAGUGUAGCGGUGAAAUGCGUAGAUAUUGGGAGGAACACCAGUGGCGAAGGCGGCUCACUGGACCGGUACUGACGCUGAUGCGCGAAAGCGUGGGGAGCAAACGGG